AUGGAUGAUAAAGGAUAGAGCAUUUUUAAAACUAUAUAGGCACAUGGAUGUUGGAGUGCUUUGAAAUCUAUACAUGCAUAUGAAAGAGAAUUGAAUACUUUGAGAUCUAUACAGAUAUGUGAAUGAUAAUAGACGGAGUGUUUUAAGAUCAAUAUAGGUGGAUAGAUGAUAAAUGAUUGAGCAUUAUGAUACAUGUGGUUGAAGAA
rnacentral:lncRNA from 1 species